CCCGCUGAACUUAAGCAUAUCAAUAAGCGGAGGAAAAGAAACUAACAAGGAUUCCCCUAGUAACUGCGAGUGAAGCGGGAAGAGCUCAAAUUUGAAAUCUGGCUCUUUCAGGGUCCGAGUUGUAAUUUGCAGAAGAUGCUUUGGGUGUGGCUCCGGUCUAAGUUCCUUGGAACAGGACGUCAUAGAGGGUGAGAAUCCCGUACGUGACUGGGGUGCCUUCGCUCGUGUAAAGCUCUUUCGACGAGUCGAGUUGUUUGGGAAUGCAGCUCAAAAUGGGUGGUAAAUUUCAUCUAAAGCUAAAUAUUGGCCAGAGACCGAUAGCGCACAAGUAGAGUGAUCGAAAGAUGAAAAGCACUUUGGAAAGAGAGUUAAACAGUACGUGAAAUUGUUGAAAGGGAAGCGCUUGCAAUCAGACUUGCGCGCUGUUGAUCAUCCGAGGUUUUCCCCGGUGCACUCGGCAGCGUUCAGGCCAGCAUCGGUUUUGGUGGGCGGAUAAAGGCCUUGGGAAUGUAGCUUCUUUCGGGGAGUGUUAUAGCCCUCGGUGCAAUGCGCCCUACCGGGACCGAGGACCGCGCUUCGGCUAGGAUGCUGGCGUAAUGGUUGUAAGCGACCCGUCUUGAAACACGG
rnacentral:rRNA from 1 species